AACCACCCCAGCCACUUCCUUCAGCUAUCCGCUUUUGGCCCUGGAUGGAGAGAGUGACCACAAGUGUCUCAGACCAGCUCGACACAGACCCAGUACGCAGCAGCGAGGCGGCAAUAACUUGGGCUGGACACAAGAGGGAGCUCGUAGCCGGGUAGUGGAAGCAAAACAACAUCGAGUGAUUAAGUUAGAGGAUACAGGCAUCAUUGGCAAGGGCAGCAUUUAUUGCCCCUCCUUAACGGCCCUUGAAAACUGCGUGGCUUGUUGAUGUCCUAUUCAGAGGGCAGAUAAACCAGAAGCUGAUGGCCCAGUUCCACUCUAGCUGCGAUCGUUCUAAGGUCUAAGUCUACAGGAGCCGGCCGCAGACAGCACCCUUGAGUUGAUGAGGUUCUUGACCAUGUGCAGGAAGCUGAACGAUUAACCCACUGGGGGCCGAGUGUAAAGAAAACCUUGUUUUUUUUCGGGCUCAGGGAGUUGUUGUGAUCUGGAACGUGCUGCCUGAAAGGGCAGUGGAAGCAGAUUGGACAGUAACUUUCGAAAGAGAAUGAGAUAAAUAGUUAAAGGGCAAAAGCGUAGAGAGCAGGAGAGUGGGAACAGGAGAAUGCCAAAAAGCUGGAACAGGAUGAUGAGCUGAAUGGCCUUGUAUCCUUCUGUGCAUUACCACUUUGGGUGCAAUUAGGAAAAUUGCACUUGUUGGUUUAGCUUUCAAGUUAGCACUAAAAUUGAUUUAGGUAAGCACAGUUAUAAAAUCCCUUAUGCACCAAGACAAGUGGGCAGCAGAAUUGAAUCUAAUCUUUUUUUUUAAAUUAACUAAAUUUCCCACAUAGACCAUUCCUUGAUAUAUCCAAGAGUGGGAAGCUGGGCAGUUUUAACAAUGCAGUUGAAAAUGGGGUAACAACAGUUUUAGUAAGGGGGUGCCCAAUUCUUCAGGUAUAAGUAACUGAUUUAAAAUCAUGGGAAUGGCAAAAAAAAAACUACACUGAACUAUUUGAUAUUUUCAUUGGCGGUUGAAUAUAUUUUAAUCUUUAAAAAAAGCUUUUAAGACACAUGAGCCUGUUUGGCUAUGAUACUGAACACAAUCUGAAGAGCAUUCCUGAACCAGUGUGAUCCAUGGAAAGUCACAAUUUUGAUUCGGGAAUGUGGUUGGUUUUGUGGGAAGGGCCUGCUGAUUUUUUUGAGCCAGCAUAAAAGACUGUGGAGACCGUGAACCUAAGUGGAUUUUGGGGGUAAAUCAUGUAGUAUUAGGGUGUUUUGGACUGGGAGGGACAAUGGGGGACAAGAGAAACAGUACAUUUUGAUGCCGAGAGUUACAUGGGAGUAGUAGAAUGUAAUAGUGAGUCUGGUAGAAGUUGGCAUGGAGAUAGCACCUAGCCAGGACU